rnacentral:rRNA from 1 species
UUAAACUGAAGAGUUUGAUCAUGGCUCAGAUUGAACGCUGGCGGCAGGCCUAACACAUGCAAGUCGAGCGGUAACAGAUCCAGCUUGCUGGAUGCUGACGAGCGGCGGACGGGUGAGUAAUGCAUAGGAAUCUGCCCGAUAGUGGGGGAUAACCUGGGGAAACCCAGGCUAAUACCGCAUACGUCCUACGGGAGAAAGGGGGCUCCGGCUCCCGCUAUGGGAUGAGCCUAUGUCGGAUUAGCUAGUUGGUGAGGUAACGGCUCACCAAGGC